AUAAUCCCAUAAAACUGGGUUUAAUCGGUUUACUGUAUAUCUUACCAAUUGAUAAACCAACUAAAUCUAAUUAUAACCAGACUUAACCGUAAUUCACCCGUUUACAACCCGACUUCAGUCUAAUAACCCCCAAAUCGAAAAUAAAUUGGUUUGACUCUCACUCUCCUAAACCUAAGAUUCGUUCAGGAUUCAUGGGUUUCGAAUGUUGAAGAUAAAGGAGACGACUUAAUCUAAAUUUUUGAAAUGGAUUUGGAAUCUUUAAAGAUGGUUUUGGUGAGUAGGAUUGUAAAGUCAACCCACCUCGUCUUCUCCACGCAUCAAAAUUAAGUGUGAGGAUUAUUGUAUUUUUUGGAUUCAGUUAUCGAUUUUGGUAACUUUUACGAUUGAUUUGGGUUUUGCAUUAGAGCUUGAAAAAUCCAGAAAUCUAAGAGAAGAUACAGAUUAUUUCAAUUAUUUAAUUUUGUAGAUCAAAAGCAUAAUUGGAGAAGAAGAGAGGAAGAAGAUUUCAAUUUCAAUUUCAAAAACUUCACCUUCACCAAGUUCUUGACUUUUGAGUGGUUUGCUUGUGUUUUUCAACUGAAUGCCCAUGUGAAUCUUCGAUUGAGUAUCGACUGAUAUCAAUAACGGAGUCGCUCCGUCUUAGUUGACGAAAAUGGGUUUGGUCGAGAAAUUUUGAGAUUGACGAGGUGUCAUUGUCGUUCGUGUGAUGGAAAUUAGGAUUUUUAGAGAUCUAAAAGUUUUCAUUUCUGCAACAAUGGCGAAGUAGCGAUCUCGUACAAGUUCAUAUUUGAAAGAUUUCAAUUUCAAUGGGACAGUCAAUUUCAAUGUAGCGGAGAUUGGGAGAGAUUUGUGGGUCGGGUCAAUUACAUACAUGAAAUAACGAGUGAAGUAGAAGAUAUUGGGUCGGGUCAAGCUUUAAUUCGGUUAGAUAGUGAGUUUAGUGGUUUCGUUUCCGGUUUAGGACCUAAACCGAUUAAACCCAAAAUUUACGGGGAAAUAGAUGAAAACUAUAGAUUCAGAGAGAUAUAGGUUGCGAAAUAUUUUUUCGGGGAUAUCUAGCACGUGGUCAUA
rnacentral:lncRNA from 1 species